CGUGAUAGCUGGUUCUCCCCGAAAUGCAUUUAGGUGCAGCGUUGCGUGGUUCACCGCGGAGGUAGAGCUACUGGAUGGCCGAUGGGCCCUACUAGGUUACUGACGUCAGCCAAACUCCGAAUGCCGUGGUGUAAAGCGUGGCAGUGAGACGGCGGGGGAUAAGCUCCGUACGUCGAAAGGGAAACAGCCCAGAUCGCCGGCUAAGGCCCCCAAGCGUGUGCUAAGUGGGAAAGGAUGUGCAGUCGCAAAGACAACCAGGAGGUUGGCUUAGAAGCAGCCACCCUUGAAAGAGUGCGUAAUAGCUCACUGGUCAAGUGAUUGUGCGCCGAUAAUGUAGCGGGGCUCAAGCACACCGCCGAAGCCGCGGCACAUCCACCUUGUGGUGGGUGUGGGUAGGGGAGCGUCCCUCAUUCAGCGAAGCCACCGGGUGACCGGUGGUGGAGGGUGGGGGAGUGAGAAUGCAGGCAUGAGUAGCGACAAGGCAAGUGAGAACCUUGCCCGCCGAAAGACCAAGGGUUCCUGGGCCAGGCCAGUCCGCCCAGGGUGAGUCGGGACCUAAGGCGAGGCCGACAGGCGUAGUCGAUGGACAACGGGUUGAUAUUCCCGUACCCGUGUGUGGGCGCCCGUGACGAAUCAGCGGUACUAACCACCCAAAACCGGAUCGAUCACUCCCCUUCGGGGGUGUGGAGUUCUGGGGCUGCGUGGGAACUUCGCUGGUAGUAGUCAAGCGAAGGGGUGACGCAGGAAGGUAGCCGUACCAGUCAGUGGUAACACUGGGGCAAGCCGGUAGGGAGAGCGAUAGGCAAAUCCGUCGCUCACUAAUCCUGAGAGGUGACGCAUAGCCGGUUGAGGCGAAUUCGGUGAUCCUCUGCUGCCAAGAAAAGCCUCUAGCGAGCACACACACGGCCCGUACCCCAAACCGACACAGGUGGUCAGGUAGAGCAUACCAAGGCGUACGAGAUAACUAUGGUUAAGGAACUCGGCAAAAUGCCCCCGUAACUUCGGGAGAAGGGGGACCGGAAUAUCGUGAACACCCUUGCGGUGGGAGCGGGAUCCGGUCGCAGAAACCAGUGAGGAGCGACUGUUUACUAAAAACACAGGUCCGUGCGAAGUCGCAAGACGAUGUAUACGGACUGACGCCUGCCCGGUGCUGGAAGGUUAAGAGGACCCGUUAACCCGCAAGGGUGAAGCGGAGAAUUUAAGCCCCAGUAAACGGCGGUGGUAACUAUAACCAUCCUAAGGUAGCGAAAUUCCUUGUCGGGUAAGUUCCGACCUGCACGAAUGGCGUAACGACUUCUCAACUGUCUCAACCAUAGACUCGGCGAAAUUGCACUACGAGUAAAGAUGCUCGUUACGCGCGGCAGGACGAAAAGACCCCGGGACCUUCACUACAACUUGGUAUUGAUGUUCGGUACGGUUUGUGUAGGAUAGGUGGGAGACUGUGAAACCUCGACGCCAGUUGGGGCGGAGUCGUUGUUGAAAUACCACUCUGAUCGUAUUGGGCAUCUAACCUCGAACCCUGAAUCGGGUUUAGGGACAGUGCCUGGCGGGUAGUUUAACUGGGGCGGUUGCCUCCUAAAAUGUAACGGAGGCGCCCAAAGGUUCCCUCAACCUGGACGGCAAUCAGGUGGCGAGUGUAAAUGCACAAGGGAGCUUGACUGCGAGACUUACAAGUCAAGCAGGGACGAAAGUCGGGAUUAGUGAUCCGGCACCCCCGAGUGGAAGGGGUGUCGCUCAACGGAUAAAAGGUACCCCGGGGAUAACAGGCUGAUCUUCCCCAAGAGUCCAUAUCGACGGGAUGGUUUGGCACCUCGAUGUCGGCUCGU
rnacentral:rRNA from 1 species